CUCGCGCCUAUAGUGUUCCAAGUGAACCCGCAGGGCUAUUACGUAAUUUGCAAUAGCAAAGCGAUCGCAAAAAUUGUACAAUUUUUGCUUUCAAAUGGCUAAAAACGUCAAAUUCGUAUUACCUAAGAGCAAAAACAAAGCGAUAGCAAAGCAAACGGUUUUUAACACAGUGCUGCCUCUGUCGAACAAUCGGUAAAGUAAAACAGCAUUCAAUCUCUAUAGACACAGCAGAUUUUGGUAUUACGUAUGAGUUUUAAGAGCGAUCGAAUAGCAAUCAGCGAACAAAUACAACUGUCAAAUAGCAAAUGGUAAAUCAUUGAUUGUUGGUCGAUCGCUCGCUGAUCGCUCAGUUCGUAACGCUGUUUAUUAAUAGUUUUAAGUUGAUUAUUAAGGGUUUUUGUUUCAAUUUGUGCCUAUUUGGAUAUGGCUAGUGUAUUUUUAUUGUUAGAAGCUAUGAAUGGGGAAACUAGAAAAGCGUAAGACAUCUACUUUGCGGCGCAAUCUUCGGGAUGAUGCCGAAGCUUUGGAUCUGCCUAAUAAUUAAAUCCCAAGAAUUGUGCGAUGAAUUAAGGCCUUAUAAGUCGCAAACACGCAGGAGAAAUAAAAAUUUGUGUUGAGUGUAAAGUGCUAACAGUACUCUCCUUCACUAUAGGCUCAUAUCAAAAACCUGCAGGUAUGAGCUAGUCACAUGUUCUGAGCCAAGCUAAUGUGUCAAAUUUAGUAAAUAAGGUGAUGAAAGCUCUAAAUUCGAGAGAAAUUUUGAUGAGAUAUAUUUGUUUCCCUCAGUCAUGGCAGCAAAGAAAUAAUGACAUAUAUGGGUAUGGUCCUAAUUAUAUAAAAUUGUAUUUAAUUUAAAGUAAAAUUUACAAACUUCAUUUCUUUCAGUUUUUCAAACAAAUUUGGCUGUGUGGGUUGCAUUGAUUAACAUGCUGAAUAUUUUUUAAUGGAAAGGAUUACCACGGUAUAAAUGUUCAAGUUGUAAGUAAAAUUUUAAUACAUACACCUAAUAAUAUUUAAUUUUAUUACUAACCAUAUGUAUCAGAAUAUCUAUUAUGUUUUCAGAUAUGUUACAGUGAUUCAAAUAUAAUUAAUGUGGAUGCAUCAUUUAGUGGGAUGAGUCAUGAUGCAUAUAUCUGGAGAAACUGUGAAAUGCAGGCUCAAUUACAAAACUUACACAGUAGAGGAGAAAGGAUCUGGUUAUUAGGGGACUUGGGGCAUCCAUUAAUAACAUGGCUUUCAAAUCCAAUUGUGAAUGCAGAAAAAGGUUCCGCAGAACAUUAUACCAAUAUUUACUACAACUUCGCCAGGAAUUUGAUUGAGCAUUACAUUGGAAUAUUAAAGCAUGUUGGAAAGUUUGCUAGCCAUAGUGUUGGAUUAUGAUCAUCAUAAUAUGGUAGCAAUAAUUACCAAUGCCUGUGUUGUUUUGUACAUCUGCUACAGACUUAGACUGCUAGUUCCACCUUUGGCAAA